UUGAUCCGCUUUCCUCUUGUACGUGUACGUUAGCCAACCGUGGAAUUUAAUUUACAAGCAUCGAUUGGGGGAAGGGGAAGGAGAGGGGGGAAAAAAAGGAUAAUUAAGACGCGACUGCUUUAAUGGCAAAAAGCGGAAGAUCGAGUCGAGUGAUGACGGCCCUGACCGAAUUUCUUCGCACUUGGACGUCGUUCCCCGAAGAUUGUGUAGCUUUUUUAUAACCUCGUUGGUUUGAUACGUUGAUAAGUCGACCCUUCCACGGCGAUUCAUUUGAAUAUAAAUCCGGCUGUCUACACACGUUGAAAAUCUCAGGAACGAAUACGAAGGAUGAGAAGGAUGGGGAACCAAGAGGACCAAGAAACAAGUCGGACGAAGAGAGGUAGAAGAAGGAGACGAAACGAAGAAUUCUUUUUUCGUUGCACAUUGUAACCGCAAACCGCGGUGGUCGACCAUGCAGGAUAUUUUUUAUUCACCUUAUUUUGGGUUCCUCCGCGCGUUUGACUUUCUUCUUUUAUAUCGUUUUAAUAUUCGCGCACGAAUAGAGUUUACAAGCAUACUUGUACGUAUACAGUUUCUUCGUAACUUUAUUUCAGAAUAUCGUGGUAAAUGCGAAAUAUGAAUACUUGUAAUUGCAUCUGCAAAAAGAAUUAAUAAAUUUUAGAAUAUAAAUGAAAA